rnacentral:ncRNA from 2 species
CGAACCGAGCGGGGGAGCUUGCGUCUGGACGGAGGGCGCAGGCUGAGAGUCGCCCGAAGGCGAGACCCCUUGAACCUGAUACGGGUAAUGCCGUCGAAGGGAGCAAGAUGAAGCCGCUU